AAGAAGACUUCCCUGAACUCUCCAUUCUGGAAUUUGCUAAAGCUCAAGAGAGCAGGCCCAACUGGCACUGACUAUGAACAUUAUUCUCAUCUCAUGGAAGCAGAUAUGAAAGCAAGUUUAUUAGCAAAGGAAGAAGACUUCUCAACCUCUCCUCUCCUGAAUUUGCUGAAGCCCAAGGAGUUGCCCCAAGUUGCACUAUGACAAUUCUUCUCAUAUCCCAUGAAAGCAGAUGUUCUUCCUGAUGAAAUUUAUUUUAGGAAUUUAGGGUAUAUUGGCAGAAAAUUAUUGCACCCUCAUGGUGAUUUUUUUAACAGUAAGUUUAAUUUUCAUUUCUUUCAUUGUACUGAGUUCAUUUUAAACACCAACUAUAAGUUAC